rnacentral:lncRNA from 1 species
UUUUGCACAAUCAUCUGAAGCAGUCGAGCCUGUUCGGCUCCUGAAUUUAUGAGGCUGGCUAUGGCAUCAACCAGCGUUGGGGCUCUGGGUAAGUUUUCCUCGUGGCCCCCUGACCCCGAAGCUCGAGGACCUCUCGGAUCCGUCAUGCUGUCAAAAUCAAACAAAGUAUUAAUAUCUAAGUCAUAGUUUGCCAACAGUUCCAUGAGCAUGCUAGUAUUUCACACAUCACAACAUGACUAUUGUAAUUACACACAAACCACACCUAUAUACAUUAUUAUUUAUAUUACAUGACCCGGAGUUGGUUUUUACAAAACCACCACACUACUCCGUCCCACUGCGUUUAUUUUACAUAACUACAC